UCCUGGUGGCUCAGACAGUAAAGAAUCUGCCUGCAAUGCAGGAGACCCAGGUUCAAUCCAUGGAUCAGGAA
rnacentral:tRNA from 1 species